CACUGCUUAGUUUAGUUUUACAUUCAGGUCUUUUCAGUUCUGCUAUGCAUUGCUUGCACGUGUGCUUAUACAUAUCUAUACAGGUGGCAAGUCCUCUGUCCUUAUGGACGUGAAGCCGUGGGAUGAUGAAACUGACAUGAAGAAGCUUGAGGAGGCUGUACGCAGUGUCCAGAUGGAGGGUCUCACCUGGGGAGCAUGUAAGGAACUUGUGUCUCCUAUCUUUCUGCCACCAUAUCUUAGCUAAUUGAUUUGUCUGUGACAUAAGAUUAACACACUUGUAUAUUGCAGCCAAGCUUGUGCCCGUUGGUUAUGGCAUCAAGAAGAUGACCGUCAUGUUGACCAUCGUGGACGAUCUCGUGUCUGUUGACAGUCUUAUUGAGGACCAUCUUACGGUGGAGCCCAUCAACGAGUAUGUCCAGAGUUGCGACAUUGUUGCCUUCAACAAGAUCUAGAAUCCCAGUUACUGUGCACCAAAUUUGCUGCUGGGGUCUUGGACCUGGGAUUGGUUGCGACGACAAGCGCUCAAGUUUCUCGUGGGAUGCGAGCUCUUAUCCCUUUUAGUUACUCUGCUAUAGAAAUGUCAGUCUUGAGUCUAUUGUUG
rnacentral:lncRNA from 1 species